AAGUGAUUAGCUAGCUCACCUUAAAUAGCUUCCCCAGAAGUCUUUCCUAAUGAUCCUUGCUACAUGGUGAGCAAGCUGUGACUAUCCUUGGCUAUAGAGAGGGUUGGUUUACCUGCCCGGGCACAUUGUCAUACAGACUACCAACAGCACCUUAGGGCCCUGAACUUUGGAGCACAGCCGUGACUGAAACCUGGCAUACAGCCGUGGGAGACCUUGAGCAGAGGCUCCAGCCAAGUUCUGCCUGAACUCCUGACUGAUGGAAACGGAAAUAUGCAUGAAAGUGUCGCUGCCAAGACAAGGCCUGCCGAAAAUACAUUUCCCCAUUUCUGUUUGAUUGGCAACUGCUUUGGAGAUAGAAUGCUGGAUUGGAAAUAACACUGAAGGCAUUAUCCCAGCAGAGUUGUUACUGCGACAUCGGAAGAAAUUCUGAUUACUGGUACUCUGUACGUGACCCACUUCUCUCCCUCCCGCACGGAGCUAAGAGUCUCUCCUCACCCUCAGUGCUCCGAGUUUCCCAGUAAUACGUCUUGAUGAGGGUCUAUUUUCAUCUGUUCUCUGGAGCAUCUGGGAACUCGAGUUCUUUGGAUCAAGGGAAUUAACUUGAAUCAGCAUCCCUUUCAUCAACCCUAUCCUUGUCUCUCUUAUCUCUGUUUCUCCGUCUCUGUGUGUGUUUCUAUCUGUGUGUCUCUGAUUCUCUGUCUCUGUGUGUGUGUGUGUGUGUGUGUGUGUGUGUGUGUGUGUGUGUGUGUAUGUGUCUCUCUAUUCCUCCCUCCCUCUCUCCAGCAAUUAUUAUCCGCCUGUGGGUGUCUAAAUUGCAUGCAAUCUGAAAGAGCCAGCCUCGCCAUACCACGCAACAGGCAACAGUGAACAACUCACCUGGAUUCGGAUCCCAUCAUCCUCUGCAGGUAGUUAGGGAAGUUGCUGGGUUCUGGUCUGGUUUUUGAUGCGGCUGCUAUCCGGGAUACUUCUGUCGACCUCCAGGUUGCGGUGGCUCCUCAGCCCUCCUUUCCUUUCCUCACAAACCUCCGGAUGGAAGGAAAGUCACACUGCGGCACUGCAAUGAUUUCUCUGCCUCCGCCUUCCCCCACGCCAUUUGCUCAGCCGUGGCUCCUCUUUCUUCCUUUUGCCACUUUUUUAGAGACUGUGAGAAAUGGCUGCUACAUUAAUUGUAACACCUAGCUGCAAGAGGAAUGUGGAGCUUGAGCUCGAGUGGCCGAACAAACAAACAAGAAAAGGCUGUGGACAAGAGCUUCCUGGAAGGGCACACCCAAGUCACAGGACGUGGGCUUCAGACACCGCUGGAGUGGGGUCUAAGCAUUACCUACAUCGGGCCUGCAUCUCCGGUCUGCUUCUCUCUAUGCCUUUAUUCUUUUCUCUGGAAAGCUUAUCCUUGGGCCAAAAGUCAUGGCCACUAAUAACUUCAAAGCUUUUAAAUUUACAGCUUUAGUCAGCUCACAGAAUCCCAAAUUCCAGCAUCCUGGAUAAUGACUUUGACUAGCCAAGCCCAAAGGUACCUACUCAUGGAUCAAUCUGCUAAAGGCAGAAAAUUGGUCAUGACACAAUAAUGCUGGCUAGGGUGAUGGCAAAAAGGAUCAUACCUAAAUGUCUUCUGGUGCACAUUUGGAGAACUCCAUAAAUACUUCUUGUAAGAAGUCUUAUUUUUCAAUGUAGAUGUUGAGCUGAGCCUUCACAAACAGACUUUGCUCUUCUCUGAGAAAACUGACCAGAGUCUUCACAUGCCUAAAGGACAUUUUGGUAUCCACAGCCUCCUGGGUAUAAUGGGCAACCAGAAGAGGAACUGGACUGGACCACUAUUAUCUAUCUCCCCUACUCCUUGUGCACAUACAAUGACAUCUCAGGAAAUUCUUCUGGCAAAAACGUUCUUAAUGAAGUGUGGAUCUACCCAUACAGAUUUACUAUAAUAGGUUCUGUUAGCAAUUAACCACUACCUACAAGCUAUCACCAGAUAAUCCCCAAACUUCUGUUUGAUAUCUGUGUGGACCUGAUCAAUCUCUCUAGAAGGAAAAGAAAGUCCUGUGCUAAGCGGGUGCUGACUUCCCAAGUGGGUUCUGAUUUUAUGCAUGGUAAAGGAGACCUUCAAAAACAUGGACUCCGGUGUUAAUAUCACCAGGGGAUCCUUUUUGUGCCAGCCUUCUCCUACUACUGUAAUUGAGAUUCUGGGUUCUUAGCUUUUUUUGGAUUCUUUUCGGUUUCUCAUGAGUCAUUUAGUAUUCCUCUUACCUUUUGCUUUGUUCCUGAUUCUUCUUUUAGCUGUUGUUUCUCUCUCUCUCUCUCUCUCUCUCUCUCUCUCUCUCUCUCUAUGUUACUCUGGCUCUCUCCAACUUUUUGGUGAGAUGAUUAUCUAGAAGAAAAACAGAAUUUCUUCUAAAGAAAGCAAAACUGAAACUUGCAGUUGUGAAAAGCACUUUGCACUAUUUCUGUAUAAUUACUUUCGUUUUCUAUAGUGGAGCAGCUGAGAAAAAAUCGCUCUAAUUGUGUAAUUUUCUGCAACUACUCUGGGACAAAAAUCUGGGUAAUUGGAUUUUUUUUUAAACUAACAAGUUGUCACAAUUGGAUAGUUCUUAAACUAUUUGUGCUUAUGCUUCAGAAAUUUUCAGUUGGAUGUACAGUGUAUUUUAAAUGUUUUGCAUCAGCGUGUGGCCUCAAAUUUGAUUUAUUUUAACUUCGAGUUUUAAAAUAGAUUGACAACUCUGAUUAUACAUUGUCUUCAGUGAGCGGACCUUUGCUAAGUUUCAAAGUGUGCUCAUCUCCACCCCACACUCUGCUGUUGCCAUGGGAGCUGAAAUCCUGGCAUGUGUAACUCCAACUCCCAAGUGGCUCCGUUUCCCAGAGUGCUUUGCUGUUACUAUGGAAAUGACUGCCCAUUAAUCUUGCUGUCCUUUUACUACCAAAGCACCUUUAACUGUCUGAAGCAAUCAAGGGAUGUUACCUACAACAGAGCAAGGAGGGCGAGAACCACUUCCCAUUCGACAACUGCUGCACUGAUUUUAAUCAAGAUUUAAUCAAGGAACCGAAGGAACUGGAGCUGCUGUCUCAGAAACAUACAGAGCAGGAUGUUCCUGGAGGCUGAGCACGCGCUCUGCUUCUUCAUGCCCUUGGUUGGGACCUCUCAACAUGCACACUCUGUAUUUUUAAAGUUGUAUUUAUGCUUUGUAAAUAUUGUCAAAUACCACCAUAGAGUGAGGGAGGUGAGUGGCCACUCAUUUUUUUUUUAAGUAAUGAGAAGAAUUGCCAUGCUUACUCUAAAUUGUCUGAAAAAUGUGUUGUUGAAACACUUAAGAAAACUACCUACCCCCUCUAAGCCUGCCUGCUGAUUUGAACAAAACCUAAUCAUCCUACCGUGCUUGAGACAUUGUAAACGUGAGUCCAAACAAUAUUAGCUAAUGAGUUAAGAAUGGUUUUAUGAACUUAGCAUCGUUUUCCCAUCACCAGUUAGGUAUUUGUGUAAUUUUUUAUCUGACUGUGUGGUCAUUUGUCUAAGAUGAAAACAGAACUUACUGGCAAUUCUGGAAAGAAUUUCCAGGUCAUCAAUGGGGAGAAAGUAUCUGAAAACAAAUAAACCUUGCUUGGGCUUGACUACCCGGAUCUGAA